rnacentral:rRNA from 1 species
GAAGCAACGCGAAGAACCUUACCAAAUCUUGACAUCCUUUGACCGCUCUAGAGAUAGAGUUUUCCCCUUCGGGGGACAAAGUGACAGGUGGUGCAUGGUUGUCGUCAGCUCGUGUCGUGAGAUGUUGGGUUAAGUCCCGCAACGAGCGCAACCCUUAAGCUUAGUUGCCAUCAUUAAGUUGGGCACUCUAAGUUGACUGCCGGUGACAAACCGGAGGAAGGUGGGGAUGACGUCAAAUCAUCAUGCCCCUUAUGAUUUGGGCUACACACGUGCUACAAUGGACAAUACAAAGGGCAGCUAAACCGCGAGGUCAAGCAAAUCCCAUAAAGUUGUUCUCAGUUCGGAUUGUAGUCUGCAACUCGACUACAUGAAGCUGGAAUCGCUAGUAAUCGUAGAUCAGCAUGCUACGGUGAAUACGUUCCCGGGUCUUGUACACACCGCCCGUCACACCACGAGAGUUUGUAACACCCGAAGCCGGUGGAGUAACCAUUUAUGGAGCUAGCCGUCGAAGGUGGGACAAA